rnacentral:rRNA from 1 species
AUUGAACGCUGGCGGCAGGCCUAACACAUGCAAGUCGAGCGGCAGCGGGACCUUCGGGUCGCCGGCGAGCGGCGGACGGGUGAGUAAUGCCUAGGAAUCUGCCUGUUAGUGGGGGAUAACGCGGGGAAACUCGCGCUAAUACCGCAUACGUCCUACGGGAGAAAGUGGGGGACCCUCGGGCCUCACGCUAACAGAAGAGCCUAGGUCGGAUUAGCUAGUUGGUGGGGUAAAGGCCCACCAAGGCGACGAUCCGUAACUGGUCUGAGAGGAUGAUCAGUCACACUGAAACUGAGACACGGUCCAGACUCCUACGGGAGGCAGCAGUGGGGAAUAUUGGACAAUGGGCGAAAGCCUGAUCCAGCCAUGCCGCGUGUGAAGAAGGUCUUCGGAUUGUAAAGCACUUUAAGUUGGGAGGAAGGGUUGUAGGUUAAUACCUUGCAGCCUUGACGUUACCGACAGAAUAAGCACCGGCUAACUUCGUGCCAGCCGCCGCAGUAA